rnacentral:tRNA from 1 species
GUGGUUGUGGCUCAGUGUUCGAUCACUUGCCUAGCAUGCAUGAGGCACUGGGUUCAAUUCUCAGUAACACA